rnacentral:rRNA from 1 species
UACGUAGGGUGCAAGCGUUGUCCGGAAUUAUUGGGCGUAAAGAGCUCGUAGGCGGUCUGUCGCGUCGGCUGUGAAAACCCGGGGCUCAACCCCGGGCCUGCAGUCGAUACGGGCAGACUAGAGUGCGGUAGGGGAGACUGGAAUUCCUGGUGUAGCGGUGAAAUGCGCAGAUAUCAGGAGGAACACCGUGGCGAAGGCGGGUCUCUGGGCCGUAACUGACGCUGAGGAGCGAAAGCGUGGGGAGCGAACAGG